UUGUGCCCUCUUCUAACCCCAGUUUGGAACAAUGAGUGCCGCCUGCCGUCUGCCGUCUACCGUCUGCCAGCGUCAAUAUUGAAUAACUUUUUCCACUCCAUAUCAUGUGUGUCAUGUCACGACAUCUUGCCUUCAGGAUGUCCUUAUUCUUCUCCAAAAUCAGGAUCAACCCCAAGGGAGUUUCACCCAUUCACAUUAUUUGGUCAUUCUGUCCUUGGCAAUUCUCUUUUAAAUGUACAGUCGGAGAGUUUUCAUUAUAUUUUGAGGUCCAACCAAUUCAGGAAUGUGAUCCCAAGAAGAACCAGCUUUUCUUUUCUUCUUUUGCCUUUGGCCAAAUCGUGAUGUCACAAAGACCUUUGAUGUUCGUCUCAGCAAGAAGUCCAACUUUGAUGCUACUUUCUUGCCAGCAAAGUGUCAAAGGCCACCCAGACUUGACAAUCAACGAGUGUUGAUUUCGAUCCAAGUGGAAAAUAAAGGCUCCUAUUUGGAUUUGCAUGGACCGGUGCAGAAUUAUUCCAUUCAUGGUGUGAAAUGGGUGCAAAUGAGCAGAUGCCAAAAAUACUUUUCCCAUGAAAAUAAAUGAUAGAAGAAGAUAAGGAUAUCAAGGCCCAAUUCCUCUCCUCAUCUUGGCAACUCCUAACAACUGCCAUCUCGAGUAAAAGGCCAUCACGCGAAAAGAAGUUUUCAUAAAUGCAUUGCAAAAAGAGACCCACAAAUUGUCUGCGCUGAAAACCAUGCCAACCACGAAAACGCUCGGAUAUCCUGGACUUCUUUGGUAUCCUUUUAACUUGAGACUUUGAACAGUGUUCAAUUGGAUGCAUUGGGUAUUCCUUUGAAGAGUGACGUUAUUUUUGUUCACUAUUGCAUGUCCAUUAAUUACUUCUGACGUUCAAUGGUAUUUUUUACACAAAUGUAAGGAAGAGAAUGAGGAAACAGCCACAUUUAGUCAUUAGCACAUUCCAAGGUCUCUCGCCUUCGCAGAUUUCUUCAAAAUCCUCAAGAUUCGAGAGAGUUUGUUCCUGGGACACGACGAGAUCUGCCAGCCAUGAAAAUGGCCGGUAGAGCAUAAAAUGGUCCGAGAUUUGAAUUGGAUUAUGUGCCUUUGGAACUUCGCCAAUUCCCAGCAAAUACAAUCGGAGCUUA